UACGUAGGGUGCGAGCGUUGUCCGGAAUUAUUGGGCGUAAAGAGCUUGUAGGUGGUUUGUCGCGUCUGCUGUGAAAAUCCGAGGCUCAACCUCGGACUUGCAGUGGGUACGGGCAGACUAGAGUGUGGUAGGGGAGACUGGAAUCCCUGGUGUAGCGGUGGAAUGCGCAGAUAUCAGGAGGAACACCGAUGGCAAAGGCAGGUCUCUGGGCCAUUACUGACACUGAGAAGCGAAAGCAUGGGGAGCGAACAGG
rnacentral:rRNA from 1 species